ACAAUUGAGUGAAAUAUGGGAAGAAACCUUCUCCUCACACCUACCCUUUCUUCAUUCUCUUCUGCUCUGCAGGGGCUUCCACCGGCACCCUUAGAUUUUCCUUUUUCAUUCCUUAGAUGGAGGCAGCGUUAAUUUAGGAUGCAAAGCAUCUGCAGAGGAAAAGAUUUAUGCCUCCACUGCUCACACAUGAUGGUCCUGAUCCAGAGAGGAACCUCUCAUGCUUGCUUCUAAGUUAAAAAUCAAGGGAGACUCAGUUGCUCAGAGAAUCUUUUGGGGCUAAUCCAAUUGUUAAUCCCAGAUGAGUCAGACCCAUGUAAAUCCCACUGAUUCCGUGGCUGAACUCAAGUAACAAGUUACAACUAGAGUAGACCUAUUGAAUCAGUGGAAUUUACAGAGGAGCUGGCUCAGCAAUUUCCCACUGAUUCAGUGAGCCUACUCUAUUUGUGAUUUUUCCUGGAUUUCAGCUAUUGCAUCUAUGCUGGCUUCAGCAAGCAAUGGGAUUUAGCCCUUAAAAUGUAGUUUAAUUGGUAGAGCACAUGCUUUGUAUCUUUAAUCUCUGAUAUCAAAGGAACACUCAUGAAAUCAUGGAGUGAGCCAUUGCCUACCAGUGUGAGCAAUACUGAGCUGGAUUGGGAAAUGGUCUGCCUCUGUCUGUCCCAAAUGGACCCACCAGCCAGUUUCCAAUUAAGAACACAUAAAACAAUGAAGCACAGGAGAAACCUCAACAGCAGCUCAACAGAACGAAAUGGAGCAGUAAACGAUGAAGCCAUGAAGAGCCAGGAAACAACCAUGUACAAAACUGUGUCAAGCAGUUGCCAUUAAAAUUUCCAUCAUCAUACCAUUAAAAACUUGUUCCUGAAUUUGGAAUGGUUUAUUCUUACAAUAACACAACUUCUAAAAUAUGUACUGUUAACUUUCUUUAUUUGUUCAUUUCCUAUGUGCUUCUUUAACUAUUCUGCUAGAUUAGAAAUUAUACUGUGUUAACAAUCAGUUAAGUGAGUCCCAACAAGAUGCAGUUAAUUGUUUGAUGGCAACAU
rnacentral:lncRNA from 1 species